rnacentral:lncRNA from 1 species
ACACAUUCUUAGAUUUCUAUACCAUGCCAUCCAAUAUUUGCUUAAAUAUCUUCGUGCUUUUCUUCCUGUUUUCGUUAUGUUUCGAUAACCCACUUGCUAAAUCAUCUAUCCAAUCUGCUGUCAACAACAAGAACACCACUGGUUAUGGUGGAGGUGGUGGUACCGGCUAUGGUAGUCAAGGUGGUGGAGGUGGUGGUAGCGGCCACGGAAGUGGAGGUGGUGGUGGAGGAAUGGGUGGCGGCGGUUAUGGUGGAGGUGGUAGUAACGGCUAUGGUAGUGGAG